GACAGCUGUAGGUAUCUCCCCACCACUACAGCUGUAGGUAUCUCCUCACCACUAUAGUAGACAGCUGUAGGUAUCUCCUCACCACUAUAGUAGACAUCUGUAGGUAUCUCCUCACCACUAUAGUAGACAGCUGUAGGUACCUCCCCACCACUACAGCUGUAGGUAUCUCCUCACCACUAUAGUAGACAUCUGUAGGUAUCUCCUCACCACUAUAGUAGACAGCUGUAGGUACCUCCCCACCACUACAGCUGUAGGUAUCUCCUCACCACUAUAGUAGACAGCUGUAGGUAUCUCCUCACCACUAUAGUAGACAGCUGUAGGUAUCUCCUCACCACUAUAGUAGACAGCUGUAGGUAUCUCCUCACCACUAUAGUAGACAUCUGUAGGUAUCUCCUCACCACUAUAGUAGACAGCUGUAGGUACCUCCCCACCACUACAGCUGUAGGUAUCUCCUCACCACUAUAGUAGACAGCUGUAGGUAUCUCCCCACAACUACAGCUAUAGGUAUCUCCUCACCACUAUAGUAGAGUUGUUGGUAUCUCCUCACCACUAUAGUAGAGUUGUUGGUAUCUCCUCACCACUAUAGUAGACAGCUGUAGGUAUAUCCCCACCACUACAGCUGUAGGUAUCUCCCCACCACUAUAGUAGACAGCUGUAGGUAUCU